ensembl:lncRNA
CCGCUCCCCGCCAUCACGUACCUGCGCUCCCGCACCCCGCGCUCUGCGCGGUCCCGCCGUCUCCAGCCGCUCCGAGAAGUCAGCCGGCGUCACCCAGGAGCGCCCGUCCCGAUGGAUUCGUACGAACGGAACUCGAUGUCUCGCUGUGCAGGCUGGAAAGAAGCGAUAGAGGCCAAUUAAAAAAGAAAAAAAAAAAACACAACGCGAGUGUUGCAUUGAAGUUCCUCUGCAACAGUUCGUAUAUUUCUAUCCUCUCCCUUCCCCCAAAGUCCGAGAGCAGAGCAAAGUGAACGCUCACAACACCGAGGGACAGAGGCUGCUCCCGGCUCUGUCUCUUCAGGACGUGUCCUCUCUAUCCACCCUCCUCCUUCAACACUUUCCAGCACCGCUUUAUCCACUGACAGCUGUGUGUUUGGGGAUGAGGACUAUCUCUCACAUAGCACAAAGGGAUUACUGCAAUACAAGUCCCACCAUUGCAGAGAAUUCUUGUUGUUUUCCAAUCAGCUUUUAGUUAAUGUACUACACGCACCUGUUAUUUUUUCUUUUGCCCUUUUAAAACUGAUAUUUUAUAUAAAACUCCUGAACUCCAGAGGAACUGGCAGCACUUCACAAACCACAACCUGAGUCUUUCCAAGCGGUGAGAACUCCAAUCUCAAUCCAGAAGAACAGUCGAGCACAGGCCCAGCUCCAAGCACCUGCAUCUAUGGGCUUGACAGCUCCUGUCCUUCCCCAGAGAGACACAAAGAGCAUGCUGCGCUACAACAGAGGCCAGGAAAGAGCUAAAAGCUCUGCAUGAAAGAGGCCAGGAAAACCAAGGAGAGUAGAAAGAUACGGUUUUAUUAUCAUUUGAAAGAGUCCUAUUGUAAAGUGAGCGCGACUCAGCUUUCCUAGAAGGGCUGAACUGCAUUGGCUCUGACUGUGGAGCCUACAAAGUGAGAACGGAGCAAAUAUGAGAGCUGCCUGCCGAGCUACCAUCACAAAGAAGACUUAAGCAUAAUGGCAAAUAAGCUAUAAACAGCAGAAGAUUACAAGUCUGCCUAUCGGAAAGGGAGGACCUGGAAGAGCCUUUCUGUGGGAACACUGGAGACAAAACCAAACCAACCGGACCUUGCUAUGUGUUACAUGAUGUGAUGCACGAAACAGCAGAGGAAUGAAUCUGGUGACUCAGCCCUAUUUCAGUCACACAAUGGGAUUUUGGCCUCACUACUACAGAGAGAGUCACCGAGCCCAGGGUCCAGAAGGGGAGGCCACAGUAGCACAGGCUGAAAGCAAGCGAAGAGUGAGAGAAGGGAGCGCUGCUCCUCUUUCUGUUCCUGCAUGAUUCAAGGCUGAAUUACCCUUUCCCAGACAGCUGCAGCCCUUGAGCUAGAGCACAGUUGAUGCUGCAGCUGCAAGGCAAGAAGCCCAGAGCCUGGUAGAGCAGCAGUGCAGAUGCUGUGCACCACGCUCCCUUCCUACAGAGCCC